UGGUGGUAUAAUCGAUGUAUGUUAACAACGUAAUCAAUUAAAGCUUCAACCAUGGCGUUUACGUUUUCUCGCAUCUUUGUGCUCUGUUCUUGCUUCAAAACCACAGGCCGCCCUCAACGAAGCUCGAUCUCCAGGCUGCCGUGUUCAUCUUCCUCGUGGUGUCACAUGACGAUUGAAUCCGGUUCGUCACAUUCUCACUUUGCCUCAAUCAUCUUUGUUGUAUCUCAGCUCUUUUUUUUCGUUGUGCUGUAACCUUCGUUCCUCUUUAUUGCGUCCUCCAACUGGCACAAAAAGCUUAAGAGCAACAAUGGCUAACUUGGGUGUUUUUGUACGUCCAACGCUUCAACUUUUGUCCUAUUUCAGUUUUGACCCCAAUAUUAUUUAAACGUGCAAAUUUCUCCUUAAUUUCACUACCAAAAUUCUAAAUCUGCAUUUUCCUCCUAUGAUAUGCAAAUAAAUACACAAAUAUAAUAUAUUCACCUAAAAUGUAAUUUAAAAUGACUAAAAUGAACAAAAACAAGAUAUUCAAAAUUACUAAAAUCAUAAAAUAUUGUAAGUCUUGAAUUACUUACUUUUCACAGGAAUCCCAAAUGAAUCGCUCAUGUUUAUGCUAAACGAUUUCAGUUUCUAUUAGACAAUAUGACCGUUCUAAUAUUCAAACCACUAAGUAUGUUAAAACCUAGUUAGUGUACAAAUGAACAAUGUACAUGUAACUUCUUAUAAAACAGUGUACAUGUGAACAAUGAAUAUAUGUGUACACGUUGAUGAUUCUGACAUACUUAUUUUUUGUAGGUUUUCCAUCUAAAGCAUUAAGCUUCUACGACUUUUAAAAUUCACGAUAAUAUUAACAAAAUAUAGAUAGUGUUAGCACAAUGUAUACAUUGUUUGCACGAUGUACAUUUGGAUUCUUUUCGUCGUCCCAUGUACACAUGUACACUAAAAUUAUGUACACAUCAACUUAGUCACCCAAUGUACUUGUGUACACAUCAACUUAACUACCCAAUGUACUAGUGUACACGACCAUGAUAUAGACAAUCUAAUGUUAUAUAACAUUUAGUUAUUUAUUAGUAAAAUGCCAACGAAUUCAACUAGUUAAAUAACUAUACUGCUAUCACCAUGUUUUAUAUGUUCACAAAGAAAAUCACAUUUUCAAUACAAAAAUUUUAACUUAGAAAUAAAGAGUCAUUUCUACUUGUUCACAUUACAUACUAAAAACAUUCAAUAACAUCUCAAAAUGUCAUACACAUUACACUGCAACAAAAUAAAUAUAGACACCAAUUUUUUUGUCCUCAAACCUCUAGUAAAUGUCCAAGCUCGGUUCCAAUUAAAGGCACACCCUAUUUAUUCUGCUCAUGUAAGUGUAAAUUAACUUCAAAAUGUACAUGUGUAUAUUUACAUAUGUUCUUUAGCGACAAGACCUAACGUGUACAAUAUACAUAUUAUAUUUUAUCUAAUAUUUACACAUACACAUAUGUUUGAGAUACAUUUUAGAUGUCUAACAUAUUGUAAAGUUGUGUCAAUUCGUUAGUGUAUAUGUGUACAUUAAAGAUUGGUGACGUACAUGUGUACAACAAAUAUGGUAGUGUACCCUAAAUUAAGAGGUUAUUUCUGCAAUUUGGAAAGUUAAAACCCAAAUAGAAACUUCCAGAAGUUCAAGGACUCGUUCGUGUAAUCAUGGAAGGUUUGGUCGGUACAAUUAAAGAGUGAGGAGUCAAUUUGAAAGGGAUACAUUUGCAAAUCAGAAACUUUUGGGGCAAAAGUGAAUAUACUCAAAAAUCAAGGGACCAAAUGUGAAAUAAAACCAAAAGUGGCCAUUGUUGCUCAUCGACUUUCGCGAUGAACGAGAGAUGCGCCGGAGAAGCUCGAACCGGAACGAGUAUUCUUGCAGCUCCGAGAAGGUGAUCUGAUGGUGAUGAUAAAAGAAGAUCCACUGUAUCCGAUGUAUCUCCGCUUCAUCACAUAUCUGGGAAGCGAAAAGAGAGAAAUCAGAUAAGUUUGCAUUGAUUUUUUAGAUCUGUAGAUCUACAAUAAAAAAAAGUUUGUUAGUGAUAAAGAAAAUAAAAGAGAAGAUGAAAUUAUGAUAUGAUAAAAAGGAAUGAUUUGCAGAAAGGACUCUCAUUUACAAAGUAAAAAAAAAAAAAGCCAAAUAAAUUUUUUAAAAAGAAAAAGAAAAACGAGAUGAUAAUCAGAUAGAGAGAGGAGAUAGAUAAUGCAAGUUGCCAAGUGUGAGACCAUUUUAGUCACAUGAUUUAACUUAGUUAACAAUUUUUUGGUUUUAGUUACAAAAAACUACUUCAGUAGCUGAAACUGCCUUAUGUUGUAAUAAAAACAUAGAAACUGGCUCAUAGGUUAAUAACUCUAGUUAUUUAGGGACUGAUUGCUGUGUUUUUUAUUUUCUUUUCUUUUAAUCUUUAAAUACUUAGUAAUAUCUUUCCGUUGGACCUCUUCUUAUGUUUUUAAUUAUUAUUAUUAUUUUUUUUAAUGCAAAAUAGUAUAUUGUCAGGUUUGUAUUUGUUAUUUUCAAAAUCACGGCCUAUUUAAUUAUACACAAGACUAUAAUCAUAGCUACUUUUUUUUUUUGGGUGCAAAUCAUAGCUACUUUAUAACAGAGUUUAUUGGAAUUAUUCACGGAACCUAAAACCGGUUAACUUUUUUCUAUCACAAAAUGAUACAUAUUUCGUUGAAUAUUAAUCAUAAGAGCAUAACUAAUUAGCAAUAAGAUAAAUAAAUUUAAAAUAGUGCUAUCUCUUAACAUUACCACUAUUAUAGCCCCGAAAAUGGGCAUAACAUUUUAUGGGAAAUGCAUAUAGAAGGAAGGAGUGGCCUGGCUCAGGAUAAGGGCUAACAAUACAUUUUUCUUUCAAUUCUUAUCUUCUACUCCUUUUUAAUAAUUAAUCUAAGAUUUGAUUUGUUAUGUCAAAGAAAAAAAGAUUUGAUUAGUUAUUUUUCUCUGUAUUCUUUUCCUUAUGUAAAAACAAGCAAACAAAGUACACACAGGGAAACAGAAACUCAAAUAUAAAUAUCCGAUCGGUUUGGUUGGUCCUUGUCGUCUUCUUCUCCGAUCGGCAAGAACAGUGAUGACGAAGGAGGAGAAAAUGAAGCUGAAUCUCCUUACAAGGGUCCUCUUGAUAUGAUGAAAUCUCUCGAAGAAGUUUUACCCAUCAGGAGAGGUAUAUCCAAGUUCUACAAAGGGAAGUCCAAGUCAUUCAUGAGCUUAAACAAUACUGAAUCCUUGUCGAUGAAAGAUUUAGGGAGGCCUGAUAACCUUUACAGUCGCCGCCGGAGAAAUCUUCUCAAUCACCGGCUUUGUAGUCGCGGUGGGAUCUCGAAGAAACCACUCAAGGCCAACUUCACGGUGGUAUCUUCCUGCGGCGAUGAUUCCUCUUCAGCCUCUAAUUUAAAACAUCAGCAUUGAGUGAGAAAUGUUUUUUUUUAAGAAUUAGAAUUUUAAAUAAAAAUGACUGGAUUAAUAAGAAGAUGACACAUACUGAGAGACUAUCUCAGUUUUUUUCUUAAGUCUCUUCCCAAAUAAACGGUUUUAAAGAUUUGUAACUCUCUUUUCUUAAUUUUUUGAUUAUUUUAAUUCUAAAAACCCACUGCCUAUGAGUCCUGCCCUUUAUACUUUGCGUAAUCAACUUAAUGAAAAAGUUGAAACUGUC